rnacentral:rRNA from 1 species
AUGGAGGGAGACUGCAGUGAGAUCUCGGCGCCGUCGCCCGCGACCGAGCACGACGUCCCCGACGAGCUGCUCGAACUAGUAUUCCUGCGCCUCCCCUCCUCACUCCACCUCGUCCGUGCCGCUUGUACGUGCAAGCGCUGGCGCCGUAUCAUCGCUGACGGCGCCUUCCUCGGCCGCUUCCGUUCUCUCCGCGCCUCCCCUGUCGUCGCCGGACACUACCGCGUCGAUGAGCGUACGCACGGGUCGUGUCCGCCGGUAUGCAACCCCGUCUUCUCCCUCUCGCCGUCGGCGGACACCGUCGACAUGCUCCCGCAGCACUUCUCGCUCGACUUUCUCCCAUACUGCGAUGGCGGCUCCUGGGACAUCGCCGACAGUCGAGGCGGCCUCGUCCUCCUGAAUCAGUGCACGGACGCCGAGGACGAGGAGGAGCCGUCUCUCUUCCACGACCUCGUCGUCUGCGAGCCCUUGACGCGGCGCAGCAGGGUGGUCCCAUGCCCGGACCGGCUCGAGGGCUGCCUCUGCUGCGGCGCCUUCCUGCUCGACGGCGACGGCGACGAGACGGGUGAGCGCAUCAGCCUGUCGAAUUUCAGAAUAAUAGUCGCGCUCCGGUUGGAUGGCAUUGCCAGGGCGUGUUCAUUCUCCUCCGGCAGCGAGGGUUUCUGGACCAUGGCGCGUAUCACGGCAGACAGCCACGUGAGGCCCGAGAGCAGCUUGUACUUCGCUCGGAAUUUCACCCGGUAUGUCUACUGGAGGACCGUAGACGCCGAAAUCAUUGUCCUUGACAAAGACACAAAGGAAUUCUCUCGUUCCUUGUUCCCGGAAGACAUGCGGUAUUUCAGGCUCGAGGUUGUAGGCUGCGCCGGUGGCAAGGUGCGCAUUGCCCACCGGGGCGCGAGCCAUCUCAAGGUCUUCACACAAUCAGAGGGCAGGGAUGAAUGGGUGCUGGAGAAGAGUGUCCAACUGCAGCAGUUGAUCCGUGAGGUUCAAGGUGAAGGUGAGUUGAACGUCGACAUGCUGGAGAAGAUUGUCUCGGUGGCGGAGGGGUCUGUCGUGUUUUGUACAGACAACUGCGUGGGGCUCAUCUCCAUCGACCUCGACACCAUGGAGUGUAAGCGCGUUCACGACGAGAACAAGUACUACGGGCCAGAGUACGUGUACCAGCUGACAUGGCCUCCCACGAUCCGAGCUUGCUUACCAUGA